UGCCAUCAGAUGUGCCCAGAUGGGAUUAGCUAGUAGGUGGGGUAACGGCUCACCUAGGCGACGAUCCCUAGCUGGUCUGAGAGGAUGACCAGCCACACUGGAACUGAGACACGGUCCAGACUCCUACGGGAGGCAGCAGUGGGGAAUAUUGCACAAUGGGCGCAAGCCUGAUGCAGCCAUGCCGCGUGUGUGAAGAAGGCCUUCGGGUUGUAAAGCACUUUCAGCGGGGAGGAAGGCGAUAAGGUUAAUAACCUUGUCGAUUGACGUUACCCGCAGAAGAAGCACCGGCUAACUCCGUGCCAGCAGCCGCGGUAAUACGGAGGGUGCAAGCGUUAAUCGGAAUUACUGGGCGUAAAGCGCACGCAGGCGGUCUGUCAAGUCGGAUGUGAAAUCCCCGGGCUCAACCUGGGAACUGCAUUCGAAACUGGCAGGCUAGAGUCUUGUAGAGGGGGGUAGAAUUCCAGGUGUAGCGGUGAAAUGCGUAGAGAUCUGGAGGAAUACCGGUGGCGAAGGCGGCCCCCUGGACAAAGACUGACGCUCAGGUGCGAAAGCGUGGGGAGCAAACAGGAUUAGAUACCCUGGUAGUCCACGCCGUAAACGAUGUCGAUUUGGAGGUUGUGCCCUUGAGGCGUGGCUUCCGGAGCUAACGCGUUAAAUCGACCGCCUGGGGAGUACGGCCGCAAGGUUAAAACUCAAAUGAAUUGACGGGGGCCCGCACAAGCGGUGGAGCAUGUGGUUUAAUUCGAUGCAACGCGAAGAACCUUACCUGGUCUUGACAUCCACAGAACUUUCCAGAGAUGGAUUGGUGCCUUCGGGAACUGUGAGACAGGUGCUGCAUGGCUGUCGUCAGCUCGUGUUGUGAAAUGUUGGGUUAAGUCCCGCAACGAGCGCAACCCUUAUCCUUUGUUGCCAGCGGUUAGGCCGGGAACUCAAAGGAGACUGCCAGUGAUAAACUGGAGGAAGGUGGGGAUGACGUCAAGUCAUCAUGGCCCUUACGACCAGGGCUACACACGUGCUACAAUGGCAUAUACAAAGAGAAGCGACCUCGCGAGAGCAAGCGGACCUCAUAAAGUAUGUCGUAGUCCGGAUUGGAGUCUGCAACUCGACUCCAUGAAGUCGGAAUCGCUAGUAAUCGUAGAUCAGAAUGCUACGGUGAAUACGUUCCCGGGCCUUGUACACACCGCCCGUCACACCAUGGGAGUGGGUUGCAAAAGAAGUAGGUAGCUUAACCUUCGGGAGGGCGCUUACCACUUUGUGAUUCAUGACUGGGGUGAAGUCGUAACAAGGUAACCGUAGGGGAACCUGCGGUUGGAUCACCUCCUUA
rnacentral:rRNA from 1 species